GCUGUAGCUCAGCGGUAGAGCGCAUGCUUGGCAUGCCAAAGGUCUCAGGUUCAAUUCCCGGCAUCUCCA